CGUAGGGCGCAAGCGUUAUCCGGAAUUAUUGGGCGUAAAGAGCUCGUAGGCGGUUUGUCGCGUCUGCCGUGAAAUCCGGGGCUCAACUCCGGAUCUGCGGUGGGUACGGGCAGACUAGAGUGAUGUAGGGGAGACUGGAAUUCCUGGUGUAGCGGUGAAAUGCGCAGAUAUCAGGAGGAACACCGAUGGCGAAGGCAGGUCUCUGGGCAUUAACUGACGCUGAGGAGCGAAAGCAUGGGGAGCGAACAGGAUUAGAUACCCUGGUAGUCCAUGCCGUAAACGUUGGGCACUAGGUGUGGGGGACAUUCCACGUUUUCCGCGCCGUAGCUAACGCAUUAAGUGCCCCGCCUGGGGAGUACGGCCGCAAGGCUA
rnacentral:rRNA from 1 species